rnacentral:rRNA from 1 species
ACGAUAUGCUUUGGGGAGCUGUAAGUAAGCUUUGAUCCAGAGAUUUCCGAAUGGGGAAACCCAGCAUGAGUUAUGUCAUGUUAUCGAUAUGUGAAUACAUAGCAUAUCAGAAGGCACACCCGGAGAACUGAAACAUCUUAGUACCCGGAGGAAGAGAAAGAAAAUUCGAUUCCCUUAGUAGCGGCGAGCGAAACGGGAAGAGCCCAAACCAACAAGCUUGCUUGUUGGGGUUGUAGGACACUCUAUACGGAGUUACAAAGGACGACAUUAGACGAAUCAUCUGGAAAGAUGAAUCAAAGAAGGUAAUAAUCCUGUAGUCGAAAAUGUUGUCUCUCUUGAGUGAAUCCUGAGUACGACGGAGCACGUGAAAUUCCGUCGGAAUCUGGGAGGACCAUCUCCUAAGGCUAAAUACUCUCUAGUGACCGAUAGUGAACCAGUACCGUGAGGGAAAGGUGAAAAGCACCCCGGAAGGGGAGUGAAAUAGAACCUGAAACCGUGUGCUUACAAGUAGUCAGAGCCCGUUAAUGGGUGAUGGCGUGCCUUUUGUAGAAUGAACCGGCGAGUUACGAUUUGAUGCAAGGUUAAGCAGUAAAUGUGGAGCCGUAGCGAAAGCGAGUCUGAAUAGGGCGUUUAGUAUUUGGUCGUAGACCCGAAACCAGGUGAUCUACCCUUGGUCAGGUUGAAGUUCAGGUAACACUGAAUGGAGGACCGAACCGACUUACGUUGAAAAGUGAGCGGAUGAACUGAGGGUAGCGGAGAAAUUCCAAUCGAACCUGGAGAUAGCUGGUUCUCUCCGAAAUAGCUUUAGGGCUAGCCUCAAGUGAUGAUUAUUGGAGGUAGAGCACUGUUUGGACGAGGGGCCCCUCUCGGGUUACCGAAUUCAGACAAACUCCGAAUGCCAAUUAAUUUAACUUGGGAGUCAGAACAUGGGUGAUAAGGUCCGUGUUCGAAAGGGAAACAGCCCAGACCACCAGCUAAGGUCCCAAAAUAUAUGUUAAGUGGAAAAGGAUGUGGCGUUGCCCAGACAACUAGGAUGUUGGCUUAGAAGCAGCCAUCAUUUAAAGAGUGCGUAAUAGCUCACUAGUCGAGUGACACUGCGCCGAAAAUGUACCGGGGCUAAACAUAUUACCGAAGCUGUGGAUUGUCCUUUGGACAAUGGUAGGAGAGCGUUCUAAGGGCGUUGAAGCAUGAUCGUAAGGACAUGUGGAGCGCUUAGAAGUGAGAAUGCCGGUGUGAGUAGCGAAAGACGGGUGAGAAUCCCGUCCACCGAUUGACUAAGGUUUCCAGAGGAAGGCUCGUCCGCUCUGGGUUAGUCGGGUCCUAAGCUGAGGCCGACAGGCGUAGGCGAUGGAUAACAGGUUGAUAUUCCUGUACCACCUAUAAUCGUUUUAAUCGAUGGGGGGACGCAGUAGGAUAGGCGAAGCGUGCGAUUGGAUUGCACGUCUAAGCAGUAAGGCUGAGUAUUAGGCAAAUCCGGUACUCGUUAAGGCUGAGCUGUGAUGGGGAGAAGACAUUGUGUCUUCGAGUCGUUGAUUUCACACUGCCGAGAAAAGCCUCUAGAUAGAAAAUAGGUGCCCGUACCGCAAACCGACACAGGUAGUCAAGAUGAGAAUUCUAAGGUGAGCGAGCGAACUCUCGUUAAGGAACUCGGCAAAAUGACCCCGUAACUUCGGGAGAAGGGGUGCUCUUUAGGGUUAACGCCCAGAAGAGCCGCAGUGAAUAGGCCCAAGCGACUGUUUAUCAAAAACACAGGUCUCUGCUAAACCGUAAGGUGAUGUAUAGGGGCUGACGCCUGCCCGGUGCUGGAAGGUUAAGAGGAGUGGUUAGCUUCUGCGAAGCUACGAAUCGAAGCCCCAGUAAACGGCGGCCGUAACUAUAACGGUCCUAAGGUAGCGAAAUUCCUUGUCGGGUAAGUUCCGACCCGCACGAAAGGCGUAACGAUUUGGGCACUGUCUCAACGAGAGACUCGGUGAAAUCAUAGUACCUGUGAAGAUGCAGGUUACCCGCGACAGGACGGAAAGACCCCGUGGAGCUUUACUGUAGCCUGAUAUUGAAAUUCGGCACAGCUUGUACAGGAUAGGUAGGAGCCUUUGAAACGUGAGCGCUAGCUUACGUGGAGGCGCUGGUGGGAUACUACCCUAGCUGUGUUGGCUUUCUAACCCGCACCACUUAUCGUGGUGGGAGACAGUGUCAGGCGGGCAGUUUGACUGGGGCGGUCGCCUCCUAAAAGGUAACGGAGGCGCUCAAAGG